rnacentral:rRNA from 1 species
CACGUAGGGUGCGAGCGUUGUCCGGAAUUAUUGGGCGUAAAGAGCUCGUAGGCGGUGUGUCGCGUCGGCCGUGAAAACCUGGGGCUUAACUCUGGGCGUGCGGUCGAUACGGGCAUCACUGGAGUUCGGCAGGGGAGACUGGAAUUCCUGGUGUAGCGGUGAAAUGCGCAGAUAUCAGGAGGAACACCGAUGGCGAAGGCGGCUUCCUGGACCGACCACUGA